AACUGGCUCGGCGUAGACGCCUCUAAGUGCACGCUGACGAACGCUCCCGGCAUGGGGGGGUUUCAGGGUAGAAACAGGGGUUGCCCCUCCUCGAGGAAGCCGGUGAAGCGGUUACAGAUGGGGUUAGUGCCGAGGUCUGGUCGAUUGUUGCCAACACGGACCACGAUCACUGCGGGCUUGUUGGCUCCUGGGGACAACAGG